ACUGGGAGAAACCUUUCUGGCCCUAACUGUGCUAUGGCUGUCAGGCUCCUCUGCUAUGUGGCCCUUUACCUUCUGGAGGCAGGCCUCGUGGAUGCUGGUAUCACCCAGACCCCGAGACACUGUGUUUCAGGGACAGGAAAGAAGAUUGUUCUGGAAUGCUCUCAAACUAUGGGCUAUGAGUUCAUGUACUGGUAUCGCCAAGACCCAGGAAAGGCACUGCAGCUGAUCCAUUAUUCGUAUGGUGUUAAUACCACAGGGAAUGAAGAGCUCUCCUCUGGAUCAACUGUCUCCAGAUUAAGGAAGGAGCUCUUUCCCCUGACCAUAGAGUCUGCCAGCCCCUCACAGACAUCUCUGUACCUCUGUGCCAGCAGGGACGGGGCUGUGAGCCAAAAUACCCAGUACUUCGGCGCGGGGACCCGGCUGACGGUUCUAGAAAAUCUGGAAAAGGUCAAACCUCCCACGGUCACAGUGUUUGAACCGUCGGAAGCAGAGACCUCCCGAACCCAGAAGGCCACACUCGUGUGCCUGGCCACCGGCUUCUACCCCGACCACGUGGAGCUGAGCUGGUGGGUGAAUGGGAAGGAAGUCCAGAAUGGGGUCAGCACGGACCCUCAGCCCUACAAGGAGCGGCUGGAUGAGAAUGACUCCAGCUACUGUCUGAGCAGCCGGCUGAGGGUGUCCUCUGCCUUCUGGCACAACCCUCGCAACCACUUUCGCUGCCAAGUCCAGUUCCACGGGCUUGGGGACGCUGACGAGUGGCAGAACAGCCAACGGACCAAACCCGUCACCCAGAACAUCAGUGCCGAGGCCUGGGGCAGAGCAGACUGUGGCUUCACUUCGGUGUCCUAUCAGCAGGGCAUCCUGUCUGCCACCAUCCUCUAUGAGAUCCUGCUGGGGAAGGCCACCCUGUACGCGGUGCUGGUCGGUGUCCUGGUGCUGAUGGCCAAGGUCAAGAGAAAGGGUUCCUGAGACCAGCUCAGAAAAUACACCCUGAACCGCUUAUCCUCCUCCCCGAGAUCUCCCUAAUGUGCUCCAGUCGGCGCUUCUAGAAGUUAUUCUCUCUCCGCCUCUUAUCUCCUUCCUGCUGGGAGAUCUGUCCCUUCUCUCCGCUUUCCUGCAGACUUUGCUCCUCAACCCUGAAACGGAAAUAGACUGAAACAAUAAAAGUGUCCUGCCAGGCCA